UCCUGGGGCCGGGAGGCUCGGUCCUCCUCACCGUUAGGCGUAUGGCGCGGGUUGAGGCCUUCGGUGCCCACGGAGAAGGCGGUGCCCGGGCCUGGGUUGGGCUGGGCUGCCCCGCCCCGACCGGGGUGCAGCCCAGGGACUGGACGCCGGGCCGGGGCUUUGGGACUUGCGUGAUUGGGCAACAACGGACGACGGCUCUGCUUCCCGCCAGACUGGCAGGCCGAAGGGAGGGUGGGGUCACCUCGAAGUCCCCGGUCUUAGUAUCCUGGACGUUCUGGAAGGAGGAACAGGGGUGCGGAGGCUGGGCCAGGAGCCCCGGGGCCCACUUUCCGUUGCACCACAAGGAGCUUGCUAAUUGGGGUGUGGGCGGUCGCGGCCUGCCCAGGGGAUUUGGCAUCUGGGGAGGCAUCCGGUCCUGGGACAUUGACCCUGGCAUUUGCAGCCUUGAUGAGCAGCUCAAGGUUUUUGUGUCCCGGCACUCUGCCACCUUCUCCAGCAUUGUGAAAGGCCAGCGGAGCCUGCACCACCGCGGAGACACCCUGGAGACCCUGGUCCUCCUGAACCCAUCAGACAAGUCUCUGUGUGACGAGCUCCGGAAUCUUCUGCUUGACCCUGCCCCUCACAAGCUGCUGGUGCUGGCUGGGCCCUGCUUGGAAGAGACAGGGGAACUGCUGCUCCAAACGGGGGGAUUUUCACUCCGCCACUUCCUCCAGGUCCUAGGGGACAAAGAGAUCCGGGAUCUCCUGGCAUCUACACCCCCACCUGCAGACCUGCCCAAGCUCACCAUCACCUGCCCGACCUUUGGCGACUGGGCCCAGCUGGCGCCUGAAGUGCUUGGCCUCCACAGCGCGCUCCAGCUGCGAUGGAACCCACCUGUGCAGCUGCCGGCAUCUGAGGGCCUGCGCGAGUUCCUGGAGUAUGUGGCUGAGUCCCUGGAGCCGCCGUCUCCCUUUGACCUACUCGAGCCACCCGCAUCUGUGGGCUUCCUCAGGCUCGCCCGGCCCUGCUGCUAUAUCUUCCCCGGCGGCCUCGGUGACGCCGCCUUCUUCGCCGUCAACGGCUUCACCGUGUUGGUCAAUGGGGGCUCCAACCCCAAGUCAAGUUUUUGGAAGCUGGUGAGGCACCUGGACCGGGUGGACGCGGUACUGGUGACCCACGCGGGCGCUGACAGCCUCCCAGGCCUCAACAGUCUGCUGCGGCGCAAGCUGGCAGAGCGCGAGGAGGCGGCGGCCGACGGGGGCUCGGGGGACGACCGGCUUCGCAGGCUCAUCUCCCCCAACCUAGGGGUCGUGUUCCUCAAUGCCCGUGUUGCCGCCUCGCGGCUGGUGAGUGGUGAGGACGAGGCGGAGCUGGCCCUUAGCCUCUUGGCCCGGCUGGGCAUCACACCCCUGACUCUGAACCGCGGGCCGCUCCCGGCCGAGCCCACCGUGCUCUUUCAGAAGAUGGGUGUGGGACGGCUGGACAUGUAUGUGCUGCACCCGCCUGCGGCCGGGGCCGAGCGCACACUGGCCUCCGUGUGCGCCCUGCUGGUGUGGCACCCUGCCGGCCCCACAGAGAAGGUGGUGCGUGUGCUCUUCCCUGGCUGCACCCCGCCCACCCGCCUCCUGGACGGCCUGGUCCGCCUGCAGCACUUGGGGUUCCUGCGGGAGCCCGUGGUGACCCCCCAGGACUUGCUGGGACCUCGACGAGCCGAGAGCAAGGAAAGCGUGGGCUCCCGGGACAGCUCGAGAAGAGAAGGCCGGACAACAGCACCCAGCAGGCCAGCCCAGGAGCGCCCUGGGGUGGCCCGGAAGGACCCGCCUCGGGUUGAGGCCCCCCGCAAGGCAGAGAAAGAAGCCAGGGUCCCCCGAGAGGUGAAGAAGGACCCUAAGCCAAGUGCCCCUCGGACCCAGCCCCGGGAGGUCCGCCGGGUGGCCUCUGCUUCAGUCAGCGUGAAGAAGGCAGGGGCCCCAGCCGCUCCCCGACCCCGCCAAGCACCCAAUAUCCCUCGCCCAGGUGUCCCACCGGUGGUGAAUGGGCCCCGCAGCCCCCCCAGCUUCCGGUGUGGAGAGGCCAGCCCCCCGACAGAGCCCUGCAGUUCCCCAGCGCCCCAGCUGGUGGCUACACCCAGCCAGGAGAGCAGCCUGGAGCUGGAGCUGGGGUUGAGCCCAGCUGGGGAGGACGGCAGCGCCUUGGAGGAGAAGACGCUGGAGCUUCUGCUGGAUGCCAGCACCCCCCGGCCACGUACACCCUCGCCUACUGCAGCCCAGCAGGGCCCAGCCGAGAGCAGCGGGCGGCUGUCGCUGAGCCCGCUGCGUGGUGGGGAGGCGGGGCCGGACGCCUCACCCACCGUGACCACGCCCUCGCUGCCCGCCGAGGUGGGCUCUCCACACUCCACGGAGGUAGACGAGUCCCUGUCCGUGUCCUUCGAGCAGGUGUUGCCUCCACCGCCACCUGCCAGUGCAGGCGAGGCUGGGCUGAGCCUCCCACUCCGAGGCCCCCGGGUCCGGCGAUCAGCCUCCCCGCACGACGUGGACCUGUGCCUGGUGUCACCCUGCGAGUUUGAGCACCGGAAGGCUGUGCCCGUGGCGCCGGCACCUGCCUCCCCCGGAAGCUCUGAUAGCAGUGCUCGGUCCCAGGAGCGGGCUGGAGCACCAGGGGCAGAGGAGACGCCCCCCACAUCCGUCAGCGAGUCCCUGCCCACCCUGUCCGACUCGGACCCCCUGCCUGCCGCCCCUGGGACCGCAGACUCAGACGAGGACAUGGAGGGCUUUGGGGUCCCUCGCCGUGACCCGCUGCCCGAGCCCCUCAAGUUCCCCCCGCCGCUGCCCACCCCACCCAGCAUCUGCAUGGUGGACCCCGAGAUGCUGCCCCCCGAACAGGCCCGGCCGGCAGAGGGCCUCAGCCGUACCCGGAAGUCCCUGGCUCGCACUAACCCCAGCACGGCCGCCUCCAAAGCCACUCCAGCUGCCACUGCCAAGACCAAGGGACCGGCUGGUGGAGACCGAGCCAGUCGGCCGCUCAGCGCCCGGAGCGAGCCCAGUGACAAGGGAGGUCGGGCACCCCUAUCCAGAAAGUCCUCAGUCCCCAAGGCGGCCACUCGGGGCCCAUCUGGGUCAGCUGGCAGCCGACCAGGUGGGUCGGCAGCCCCUCCUGGCUCCCCCGUCUACCUUGACCUGGCCUACCUGCCCAGCGGGAGCAGCGCCCGGCUGCUGGACGAGGAGUUCUUCCGGCGGGUUCGUGCGCUCUGCUACGUCAUCAGUGGCCAGGACCAGCGUAAGGAAGAGGGCAUGCGGGCUGUCCUGGACGCCCUCCUGGCUGGCAAGCAGCAGUGGGACCGUGACCUCCAGGUGACCCUGAUCCCCACCUUCGACUCGGUGGCAAUGCACGAGUGGUAUGAGGAGACGCACGCACGGCACCAGGCUCUGGGCAUCACCGUGCUGGGCAGCAACAGCACCGUGUCCAUGCAGGACGAGGCCUUCCCCGCCUGCAAGGUGGAGUUCUAGCCCCGUGCCCGCCACCCAGCCCCUCAGCCCGGAGUCGACCACUGCCUGAGAGUCCCCCGCAUCAGAAAUAAACCAGGUCACGUGACUGCCUGAUUCAGGAGCUGAGAUGCACUCCUCCCUUGU